AUUGAACGCUGGCGGCAUGCCUAACACAUGCAAGUCGAACGGGGCAGCAAUGCCUAGUGGCGGACGGGUGAGGAACACGUAGGAAUCUGCCCUUAAGUGGGGGAUAACCAGGGGAAACCCUGACUAAUACCGCAUGAUCUCUUCGGAGCAAAGAGGGGGACCGCAAGGCCUCUCGCUUCUGGAUGAGCCUACGUCUGAUUAGCUAGUUGGUAGGGUAAAGGCCUACCAAGGCGACGAUCAGUAACUGGUCUGAGAGGAUGAUCAGUCACACCGGAACUGAGACACGGUACGGACUCCUACGGGAGGAAGCAGUGGGGAAGAUUGGACAAUGGGCGCAAGCCUGAUCCAGCAAUGCCGCGUGUGUGAAGAAGGCCUUCGGGUUGUAAAGCACUUUAGCCUGGAAAGAAAAAACUUUGGUUAACACCCAAAGUCUUGACGGUACCAGGAGAAUAAGCACCGGCUAACUCUGUGCCAGCCGCCGCGGUAAAAC
rnacentral:rRNA from 1 species